rnacentral:rRNA from 1 species
UNAGUGCCGGAGCUAACGCAAUAAGCACUCCGCCUGGGGAGUNCGACCGCAAGGUUGAAACUCAAAGGAAUUGACGGGGGCCCGCACAAGCGGUGGAGCGUGUGGUUUAAUUCGAAGCAACGCGAAGAACCUUACCAGGUCUUGACAUCCCGAUGCUAUUCUUAGAGAUAGGAAGUUACUUCGGUACAUCGGAGACAGGUGGUGCAUGGUUGUCGUCAGCUCGUGUCGUGAGAUGUUGGGUUNNNNNNNNNNNNCGAGCGCAACCCUUAUUGUUAGUUGCCAUCAUUAAGUUGGGCACUCUAGCGAGACUGCCGGUAAUAAACCGGAGGAAGGUGGGGAUGACGUCAAAUCAUCAUGCCCCUUAUGACCUGGGCUACACGCGUGCUACAAUGGUCGGUACAACGAGUUGCGAGCCGGUGACGGCAAGCUAAUCUCUGAAAGCCGAUCUCAGUUCGGAUUGGAGGCUGCAACUCGCNUCCA